UAAAAUAAGUAAAAAUAUGUAUAAUCUCUCUGUCCCUAGUACAUUAUAAUACAGUUUAUGUUAUAUUAUAUAAAAUCAUCCCUCUUGCUAUGUAAGAGUGGAAGUGGAUAGUGUUGUAUGUGUUGAUGGGGGCCUGCUGGUCUUUUUGGUUCUUAUGUAACUAUAGAUUGAGCAGCAGUUGUGUGUGUCCUGUAAAAAUAGAUCCGAAUUACGUGGAUCAGCAACAGCUCAACCCAAUUGUUACAUUUUUGUGUUUAUUUCAGGGCUGGUGACAAGGCAGAUCCAGUGUGGCAAAAGAAACUGCAACUAUUUAGCCAAAAAUUUGACUUCCGAAAUCUAAACGCAGUAGAGAUCUGCUACUGGCGAUGUGGCUGACUGUCAGGACUGGUCAGUUGUUCUGGACAGAUGGACCUGACAGGUCUCCAAUUGGCCUGCGGAACAUACAGAGACGCUGCUGAUGACAGGAAGACGAAUCAAGGGUUAUAUUUAGCUGUGCUUCAGGGCUGUCCACCUCUUGCUCUGCUGCAGCUCUGGCCUUACAAGGUCCAAGCAUGAGUACAGUUGCUUAGCAGCCCGCUGUGUUUUCAGCUCCAGCAGUGAGAGACAGGAGCCGCUCUUCAUCAUCAUCAUCAUCGUCAUCUUCAUCAAGAGUGUGAUGAUCCUGGUGGUACAUACAAUACAUGUUAAAUACACAUUAAAAUAAUUGCAGGUUUGGAUUUUUAUAUUUAGUGUGGUCAUUUUACACAGUUAACUACUGAAA